GCGAUGCCCCCCAAGAAACAGGCUCAGGCCGGGGACAGCAAGAAGGCGGAGCAGAAGAAGGAGAAGAUCAUCGAGGAUAAAACUUUUGGACUAAAGAAUAAGAAAGGAGCAAAGCAACAGAAAUUUAUUAAGGCUGUCACUCAUCAAGUGAAAUUUGGUCAACAGAAUCCACGUCAGGUAGCACAAAGUGAAGCUGAAAAGAAAUUGAAGAAAGAUGACAAGAAGAAAGAACUACAAGAACUAAAUGAGUUGUUCAAACCAGUAGUUGCUGCACAAAAAAUAAGCAAAGGUGCGGAUCCCAAAUCUGUGGUGUGUGCAUUCUUCAAACAGGGACAGUGUACUAAAGGAGAUAAAUGUAAGUUCUCUCAUGACCUCACUUUGGAGAGAAAAUGUGAAAAAUGAAGUGUUUACAUUGAUGCAAGAGAUGAAGAACUUGAAAAAGAUACUAUGGAUAAUUGGGAUGAGAAAAAGCUGGAAGAAGUAGUAAACAAGAAGCACAGUGAGGCGGAAAAGAAAAAAACAAAAGCUCAAAUAGUGUGCAGACAUUUUCUUGAAGCUAUUGAAAAUAACAAGUAUGGCCGGUUUGGGGUGUGUCCUGGAGGUGGGACAAUUGCAUGUAUCGCCAUGCACUUCCUCCUGGAUUUGUGCUAAAGAAAGACAAAAAGAAGAAAAAGAAGAUGAAAUCUCAUUAGAAGAUCUAAUUGAAAGAGAGUGUUCUGCCCUAGGUCCAAAUGUUACCAAAAUCACUCUAGAAUCUUUUCUGGCAUGGAAGAAAAGGAAAAGACAAGAAAAGAUAAACUUGAACAGGAUAUGGAGAGGCGGAAAGCUGACUUCAAAGCUGGGAAAGCACUGGUAAUCAGUGGUCGUGAGAUAUUUGAAUUUCGUCCUGAGCUGGUCAAUGAUGAUGAUGAGGAAGCAGAUGAUACCCGUUACAUUCAGGGAACAGGUGGUGAUGAGGUUGAUGAUUCUAUGGGUGUAAAUGACAUAGAUAUAAGCCUGUACAUCCCAAGAGAUGUAGAAGAGACGGGUAUCACUGUGGCCAGUCUUGAAAGAUUCAGCAUGUAUGCAUCAGAUAAAGAUGAGAACAAAUUAAGUGAAGCUUCUGGAGGUCUGGCUGAAAAUGGUGAAUGGAGUGAUUUGGAUGAAGACAGCGGAGGGGGAGGACAGGAAAAUGAAUCCAUCAAUGCUGUUCCUGUUGAUGAAAACCUGUUCACUGGCGAAGAUCUGGAUGAACUAGAAGAAGAAUUGAACACUCUUGAUCUAGAGGAAUGACAACAAGGAGGAAAAUUAGGUCAGCUCAAUAUGAUCAACAUGAACUGAGAUUGACUACAUUAAUUGUUUGGCCACCUAGAAUCAACAGGACAUUUAUUUCCCCAUGAUGAUUCUGGAGGGAUUCUGUCCUCCACAAAAGGAAUACUAUCCCUGUGUCUUCUCUUCUGACUUUGACUACAUCUCAUAGUAAGUUCAGAGUAGUUGGUGAUAAAUUAAAAAUGGUCAUUACAGAAGAUGAUUGUUGUUAUAACUGUCCACUCAUGUAGGAAGUGUAACUGCUUUUCCAGCUUUUGGUUUUCAUUGGGCAUGUGUAAUUUCCAGGAACAAAUCACACUUAAAAUACUUGUGUUUGAUG